rnacentral:rRNA from 1 species
GAUGAACGCUGGCGGCGUGCCUAAUACAUGCAAGUCGAGCGAACAGACUAGGAGCUUGCUCCUCUGACGUUAGCGGCGGACUGGUGAGUAACACGUUGAUAACCUACCUAUAAGACUGGGAUAACUUCGGGAAACCGGAGCUAAUACCGUAUAAUAUAUUGAACCGCAUGGUUCAAUAGUGAAAGACUGUUUUGCUGUCACUUAUAGAUGGAUCCGCGCCGCAUUAUCUAGUUGGUAAGGUAACGGCUUACCAAGGCAACGAUGCGUAGCCGACCUGAGAGGGUGAUCGGCAACACUGGAACUGAGACACGGUCCAGACUCCUACGGGAGGCAGCAGUAGGGAAUCUUCCGCAAUGGGCGAAAGCCUGACGGAGAAACGCCGCGUGAGGGAUGAAGGUCUUCGGAUCGUAAAACUCUGUGAUUAGGGAAGAACAAAUGUGUAAGUAACUAUGCACGUCUUGACGGUACCUAAUCAGAAAGCCACGGCUAACUACGUG